rnacentral:rRNA from 1 species
ACAUGCCUACAACAUAGCAUUAAUGCAUUGGAUCCCAUUAUAACUCUACAGUUAAGCAUACUUGGGCUAGAGUAGCACUAGGAUGGGUGACCGCCCGAGAAGUCCUAGUAUUUUACAUGCC